AUUGAACGCUGGCGGCAGGCCUAACACAUGCAAGUCGAGCGGAUGAGAGGAGCUUGCUUCUCGAUUCAGCGGCGGACGGGUGAGUAAUGCCUAGGAAUCUGCCUGGUAGUGGGGGACAACGUUUCGAAAGGAACGCUAAUACCGCAUACGUCCUACGGGAGAAAGCAGGGGACCUUCGGGCCUUGCGCUAUCAGAUGAGCCUAGGUCGGAUUAGCUAGUUGGUGAGGUAAUGGCUCAACAAGGCGACGAUCCGUAACUGGUCUGAGAGGAUGGUCAGUCACACUGGAACUGAGACACGGUCCAGACUCCUACGCGAGGCAGCAGUGGGGAAUAUUGGACAAUGGGCGAAAGCCUGAUCCAGCCAUGCCGCGUGUGUGAAGAAGGUCUUCGGAUUGUAAAGCACUUUAAGUUGGGAGGAAGGGUUGUAGAUUAAUACUCUGCAAUUUUGACGUUACCGACAGAAUAAGCACCGGCUAACUCUGUGCCAGCCGCCGCCGUAAUAC
rnacentral:rRNA from 1 species